UACGGGAGGGGCAAGCGUUGUUCGGAUUACUGGGCGUAAAGGGCGCGUAGGCGGUCGUGACAAGUCACUUGUGAAAUCUCCGGGCUUAACUCGGAACGGUCAAGUGAUACUGUCGGACUAGAGUACAGAAGGGGCAACUGGAAUUCUCGGUGUAGCGGUGAAAUGCGUAGAUAUCGAGAGGAACACCUGCGGCGAAGGCGGGUUGCUGGGCUGAUACUGACGCUGAGGCGCGAAAGCCAGGGGAGCGAACGGG
rnacentral:rRNA from 1 species